rnacentral:rRNA from 1 species
AUUGAACGCUGGCGGAAUGCUUUACACAUGCAAGUCGAACGGCAGCACGGACUUCGGUCUGGUGGCGAGUGGCGAACGGGUGAGUAAUGUAUCGGAACGUGCCCAGUCGUGGGGGAUAACGUAGUGAAAAUUACGCUAAUACCGCAUACGAUCUAUGGAUGAAAGCGGGGGAUCGCAAGACCUCGCGCGAUUGGAGCGGCCGAUAUCAGAUUAGGUAGUUGGUGGGGUAAAGGCCCACCAAGCCAACGAUCUGUAGCUGGUCUGAGAGGACCACCAGCCACACUGGAACUGAGACACGAUCCAGACUCCUACGGGAGGCAGCAGUGGGGAAUUUUGGACAAUGGGCGAAAGCCUGAUCCAGCCAUUCCGCGUGCAGGAUGAAGGCCCUCGGGUUGUAAACUGCUUUUGUACAGAACGAAAAGGUUUCUACUAAUACUAGGAGCUCAUGACGGUACUGUAAGAAUAAGCACCGGCUAACUACGUGCCAGCAGCCGCAGUAA